GGGACCUGCCGGCCGCCCCCUACCUGCGCUCCUCCACCUCCGCGUCUCUCUCGAGUUCCAGCAGGUCCAAAUGCUUGGUCACGAAGCUCUCCACAGCCGCGGAGGCCAUGGCCGCCGACCCGCCGGGCCCGGGGCCGCGGAGAUCCCGGCCGGACCCCGUGCGUCGACGCACAAGGCGCGUGCUCGCGCCGCUUCCGCUUCCGCUUCCGGCCGAGGCUGCGGGAAGAUGGCGGCGGCCGUGGCGGCCCGCGCCGUGCCCGUGUGCUUCCGACGGCUGCUGUGCGCCUGCAGCCGCCGCGGCCCGAGAGCCGCAGGGCCCGGAGCCGCUUCCCUGGGAUCUGCUUCCCAAAGAUUUGGUUCACAGAGUACUUCAGUUCCACAAGGGUACGUUCCUAAACAUCACUGAGUUCACCACCUUGGCCAGAAGUUGUCCUGCCAGACCCAGCUGAGGAGACCAGACACCAUGCAGAGGUCGUGGGGAAGGUGAACGAGCUGAUCGCCACAGGCCAGUAUGGCAGGCUGUUUGCUGUGGUGCACUUCGCCAGCCACCAGUGGAAGGUGACCUCUGAGGACCUGAUUUUAAUCAACAACGAAUUAGACAUUGCAUGUGGAGAGAGGAUACGGCUGGAGAAGGUGAGUGCAACAGGGUCUGUGUGCCCCAGGAGUUCAGUCACCAGGUGUGCUAUCCUGGGGAGCCUUCCUCAGGUCAGCGGGAGAGGGUGAGCAGAGCCGAGGGCAGGUGUCCCCUUGGGGGUGGCUGAAGCCCAGCAGGGCGAGGGACUGCAAGGGCAGCUCAGGAGACUUCCCCUCACAGGGAGGCGGGCCACCCUUCCUCCAAGGAAAACACGUGUGCUGAUGGAGCUCCCGUCUCAGGAGCACCCUCCCUUAGAGCGUAAUGAGCAUCCCGGUUGCAGACAGGGGUUCAGGCCCACACUGACGGGGCGAGUGUUUCUGCAGGAACACUACUGUGGUGUUAGACUUGAUGGCUGCUGCUUUUAAGCAGAAGGACUGGUUUUAGAGGCAUUUCCCAGGGACUGGUAUGUCUACCGGCCAUUCCACACUGCUUGGUCUGCAUGUUUAGCCUGGUAUUUCUACCCAUCACUUACAAUUCUUCUUGUUGUUUGGGGCAGACUUCUUUGUUUUUUUCUUAUUCUAUUUAUAAAAGUAUAUCAAAUGUAAGUUUUCAGGGGUGCCUGGGUGGCUCAGUCAGCUGAGCAUCAGAUUCUUGUUUUCACCUCAGGUCGUGGUCUCAGAAUCAGAUCAACCCCACAUCGGGCUCUGCACUCGAGAUAGAGUCUGCUUGGGACUGUGUCUCCCUCUCCCUCUGUGCAUUCUCUCACCCACUCACUCUCUCUCUAAUAAGUUCUAAUAUAUAUUUAUAUAUGUAUAUAUGAGCUUUCUAUAUUAGAUCGUUUUUCUAGGAUGUGUUUAACUGCUAACAUAAUGUGCCAUAGCAUAUAUGGGUUUUU
rnacentral:lncRNA from 1 species